AUUGAACGCUGGCGGCAUGCUUUACACAUGCAAGUCGAACGGUAACGGGGGCUUCGGUCUGCCGACGAGUGGCGAACGGGUGAGUAAUAUAUCGGAACGUGCCCAGUAAUGGGGGAUAGCUCGGCGAAAGCCGGAUUAAUACCGCAUACGCCCUGAGGGGGAAAGUGGGGGAUCUUCGGACCUCACGUUAUUGGAGCGGCCGAUAUCAGAUUAGCUAGUUGGUGGGGUAAAGGCCUACCAAGGCGACGAUCUGUAGCUGGUCUGAGAGGAUGAUCAGCCACACUGGGACUGAGACACGGCCCAGACUCCUACGGGAGGCAGCAGUGGGGAAUUUUGGACAGUGGGCGAAAGCCUGAUCCAGCCAUGUCGCGUGCGGGAAGAAGGCCUGG
rnacentral:rRNA from 1 species